ACACCAUUAUAAUAAACUAAAAUUUUACAGAAUAAUAAACAACGGCCAGACUGUCGCUUGUAGAAAUCGGUCGCAUCAAAUAAAACCAUUAACAACGACAACUAAGAUAUCGACACGCACUCAUAACAAUAUUACGUAGGAUGUGUGUGACCUUAUUUUAUGCUGACGCCAAAGAAUAAUCUAGUUCCCAGGCCCACAAUAAUUUAGUGACAAAGCCACCCACCACUCUCUGGUCAGCAUCCUCGCGUCCGUCCCUUAAACCAGUGCAUGAGCACCAACCACCGCAGUAACAACCUCUCAAAUACCAAAGAAACCGAUUUCAACGAGCGACAACUGGACUUCUUAUGCAAGCGAUAAUCAGUGCGUUCGUUAAUUCAAUUUGUGUAUUUGAAGUAGUACUUUAUUUUAUCUAAAACCUAAAACUCUUACAAUAUUGUCUACGAACAACUGCGAAUCAGAGGUGUAAAAAUGAACUCGAAAUGGACGAGUAGGACGAUAAGGUACAUGACCAGUGACCACACAGACACAGUGUUGUUCGCGUUGUCUAGAGAAGAUUGGCCACCGAAGCAAGGAAGGACACCGACGUCAGGCCAAUGAGAAAUACACAUUUUAUUUUUAAAACCUUGACUUUAUUCUUUACAUGUCUUUGAUAAUGCAAGCGUACCUUGUACGUGGUGUUUUCGAUAUAUAAUGAGUUUUUUUUACGCUGAAAAAAUAAAAACUACAUUGGUAGAUAAUUUAAUAAA